rnacentral:rRNA from 1 species
UACGGGGGGGGUAAGCGUUGUUCGGAAUUACUGGGCGUAAAGGGCUCGUAGGCGGCCAACUAAGUCGGACGUGAAAUCCCUCAGCUUAACUGGGGAACUGCGUCUGAUACUGGAUGGCUUGGAUUUGGGAGAGGGAUGCGGAAUUCCAGGUGUAGCGGUGAAAUGCGUAGAUAUCUGGAGGAACACCGGUGGCGAAGGCGGCAUCCUGGACCAACAUUGACGCUGAGGAGCGAAAGCCAGGGGAGCAAACGUG